rnacentral:lncRNA from 1 species
CGCACCAUAAGUUACAUACAUUUUAAUCUCCUAAUAACACAACAACACAAAAAAAAAAAAAACUAAAGAUGCCCAAUGAUCUGAGCGAUACGGACACGGCACGAGCACAUCAUGACACGGGCACGACACGAGCACGACACGGGCACGACACGACACGAGCACGGCAUGCCUUGAGCAUGGCACGACACGAGCACGUUUUUGGGGGACACGAGGCACGACACGACAUGCUCGCGGGCCUAGCCAGCCAUAGAAUUUUACGCUCACGCGUCUUAAAAGCACGACACAAUUAGAAAUAAAAGAUCUUCAUAACAUAUAAUUUUCGUCAUGAUGUAAAGACUAUAACCCAUACAUACUCUUAGUUGUUGAGUGAUACUUGUGAACAUUAAUUGUGUUUAAUUUAUUUGUUUGCAAGAGAAAUCAUUCACAUUCUAUAAAACACAACCUGGCUCCGGCUACACAAUUGACCAAUGGCUCAUGUUUUAUUGUACAUAAAUAGUUAAGACUAAGGUCUAUGGUUAAAUUGCAUGUGCAUGAUAAAAUUAGGGAUUUUAAAACUAGAUACAAGUCAAUUGGAAAAAUAAAAGAUUAGAAUUAGAAUCAAUGUUGAAAGAAUAAAUAAUUACACAAAAUUACUUUUAAAAUUAACUAUAGCACUUUCAUAAUUUUAUAAUUCAGUUGAAGCUAUAUA